UGAACCCAGUUCCAGAUGAGGUCCUGAGGCUCUGUGGGGCUACCCACCAUGUCCCCCUACACCAGAUCAGCGAAUUCUAUGGACAGACUACAUAAACAUAAAUGGUACCAUAGAUCAUUCAUGAUACAUCGGGAUGUGUGAGGAUCUCAAAGUGAAGCAGUUAAUGAACAUCUUCUCCAUCCCAGAGAUGACCCUCCUGGCGGUGGCCAAUGAUUUCUUCAUCUCCGACGACAUUGAGUACGAUCCUGAGCACCUCAUCAAAGAUGUCUCAGAAGCCAUUAGAAUGGUUCACAUCAAAGGUUACAUGUACAAAUGGAUCAUGCAGAGAUCUGGAGAAGUACAUUCUGCGAGGGGACGAGCCUUAUGCUUUUCUGCAAUGCCUGAUCAGCCACGGGAAGAAAGUGUUCCUCAUGAGGAUGAAGACCUAGGGUCAUAUGUUGGAUUGGAUGACAUAUUGAUUUGAUGGGAUAAAGGCAUGAGGUUCAUGGUGGGGAGAGAUUGGAGGGACUUCUUUGAUGGGGUCAUUGUCCAGGCAGACAAACCACAUUUCUUCAAUGACGGUGAACAUGAGGUGCCCCUGUGGAUGGACCAGAUUUGCAGUGGCUGCAUGAAGAGCCCUUUCCUAGAGGAGAUGGCCCACAUCUGCUGAGCCAACAAUGUGUUGUCAUUGCUGGGUUCUCAACAUGGACAUUCACAAAGCAGCCCACUAGAGGGCACUGUAGAUCAGUAUUAUUCAGAGAAUAAGCUUAGGUUAUUGCUAUUUCUGUAAUUGAAUACUGUGAGUAGUAUUAUGGCCUAUAUAGGAGUUACUCUCUGGCAGAUCUAAGUGAACCAAUAAUAGACAUGAACUUCAGAAACCUUUAACUUAAACACCCUUCAUUGUACAUGUUUGUUAUUAACUAAUGGGUCAUACACCCAUCCCUGUAUGACUGGCAAACAAAAUAUCUGGUUGCAUUUGAUGACCAGCAUGCAAAGACCGAUGCAGCAUGUGCCCAUCAUGGACACAUGUCUAUUUCGUGAUGAAGACAUAGCACGUACUGUAUGUUAACAAUGUAUGUUCAAAAUACUAUAGCUGCUUUUAAAAACCUGUUUUUGUGCUUGUAUACAUUCAAUAGAAUAUGGCUAAAUUUAAACAAUUGUGUCACUGUUGUAACCUUUUUCAUUUGUGAUGAUGUUGCAUGUGUAGCCUAUUGAUUGUUGACGGAUCCAAUUCAAGCUCUCAUGUCCAUAAAAAUGUAAUUGUGCAUUGGAAGAACAAGAAGUUAGACAAUCAAAAUCUGUAAAUCAAGAAAUGUGUAUGAACUAUUGAGGUAGGCAUCUAUUCAAAUUGAUUUGAGCUAUCACAUACAGUUAUCUACUAAA